ensembl:lncRNA
GCAGAGUAUAAAGAGAAAUAAAAGAAGGCAAGGACUUGAAACUCUUCAUAGAAGAACAGCCUAUCUUAACAACAUGGUUUACUAUGAGUUUUAACGCUGAGAAAAGAAUCAGAUCAUCCAUGUGUGGACAGUGAUUCUAUGAAGAACCAUUUUAGCUGUGCAUCCCAAUAGCUUUUGUCCAAAUUUUCAAAGCAAAGGUGGUAAAUGAAAAGAAUUUUCGACAGGAGCUACAUUAAAUGGAGUAUUUCUCUUUCCAGUGGAAACCACAAAUCACAACUUUAUAAAACUAAACUUCUAUGUAGACUUGCAGGGACUAUGGAAAUAAUUGUUUCAGGCAUACCUGGCAACAUUUGAGUGUCUGGUGGCUGUAAGUGGAGACCAUUUUAUCUUUGCAUUCAAUGGAAACAGCAUACUGGGCCCCAGGACUGCAGCAGGCACAGCUGCACUCAAGUGUGUUUAAGGAAGGACAGCAGCCAUGUGACAAGGAAACACCUGAGGAAAUAUUCAAGGACAUGAG